CAGCAGCCGCGGUAAUACGGAGGGGCUAGCGUUGUUCGGAAUUACUGGGCGUAAAGCGCACGUAGGCGGCUUGGUAAGUUUGAGGUGAAAGCCCGGAGCUCAACUCCGGAAUUGCCUUUAAGACUGCCGAGCUAGUAGGUGAGAGAGGUAAGUGGAAUUCCGAGUGUAGAGGUGAAAUUCGUAGAUUUUCGGAAGAACACCAGUGGCGAAGGCGGCUUACUGGCUCAUUCUAGACGCUGAGGUGCGAAAGCGUGGGGAGCAAACAGGAUUAGAUACCCGAGUAGUCCCUGUCUCUUAUACA
rnacentral:rRNA from 1 species